CAGCAGCCGCGGGAAUACGAAGGGUGCAAGCGUUAAUCGGAAUUACUGGGCGUAAAGCGUGCGUAGGCGGUGAGUUAAGUCUGCUGUGAAAUCCCCGGGCUCAACCUGGGAAUGGCAGUGGAUACUGGCUCGCUAGAGUGUGUCAGAGGAUGGUGGAAUUCCCGGUGUAGCGGUGAAAUGCGUAGAGAUCGGGAGGAACAUCAGUGGCGAAGGCGGCCAUCUGGGACAACACUGACGCUGAGGCACGAAAGCGUGGGGAGCAAACAGGAUUAGAUACCCCAGUAGUCCCUGUCUCUUAUAA
rnacentral:rRNA from 1 species